GGCCAGACUCCUACGGGAGGCAGCAGUGGGGAAUAUUGCACAAUGGGGGAAACCCUGAUGCAGCGACGCCGCGUGAGCGAAGAAGUAUUUCGGUAUGUAAAGCUCUAUCAGCAGGGAAGAAAAUGACGGUACCUGACUAAGAAGCCCCGGCUAACUACGUGCCAGCAGCCGCGGUAAUACGUAGGGGGCAAGCGUUAUCCGGAUUUACUGGGUGUAAAGGGAGCGCAGGCGGCACGGCAAGCCUGAUGUGAAAGCCCGCGGCCCAACCCCGGGACUGCAUUGGAAACUGCGAGGCUGGAGUGUCGGAGAGGCAGGCGGAAUUCCUGGUGUAGCGGUGAAAUGCGUAGAUAUCAGGAGGAACACCGGUGGCGAAGGCGGCCUGCUGGACUGCAACUGACGUUGAGGCCCGAAAGCGUGGGGAGCAAACAGGAUUAGAUACCCCUGUACG
rnacentral:rRNA from 1 species